CUACAACAAGAUCUCUUAGCAAGCUUUGUCCAGCUCAUGUGAUAGAGGUGUGACGAGGUUGUCCGCUUUCAGCUCAUUCGAGUGAUUGUUGCCAUCGUUAGGUGGUUCAAAAACUUAUUUGUAAUUUUUGUUAGUUUUAGACCUUCUUUAUUCUUCAUCGGUGGGAACAGAGAAAGUUGGGCCAUACAAGGGAUCAUCUACCUACCAUCAAACAACAAAGCUUUCGCUCAAAAAGAAAAAAAAUCAAACGACAAAGCUACAUGUUGUUACUGACAGAGGCGCAAGGAAGAUCUCUCUCUCACACACACACGGCGGGGCCGGGGACUGAAAUCUUACUCCCCCAAAAGAAAACAGAACGGUGUACACAAGGAAUUGCUUACAUGGUUCAGCAGCGUGCCAGCUGCACCCCGACGGAAGCGCGCAUAAUUACAAACAGCACCAACGUAUCGCUUCAUGAAUUUCUCGACCGAGCAGCACUACUGCAAAUGUUGAUCGACGCCGUCGUUCUCAACUCGCGAGUGGGAGUAAUUGAUCAAGCUAACACUGCCAAGAAUUAAUUUCCUUAAUUGUGUGUAGGGCC
rnacentral:lncRNA from 1 species